UACAGUUGUGAUUUUCAAGCUUACCUGUCCACAGUGCCAGUAGUUAUUAUGAGGGCUGGAUUUGUUUUAUUGCCCACACACUACAUUACAAGCUUAUUUUUUCUUCAUGUCAGCUUUCUGAAGGGCACAGGCUGCUUGUAUUUCCAGUUUAAGUGGUCAUGGGAAGGGGGCUACUUGUUAAUGAUUGAUGCGGCACCUCUUAAUGUGAUGGAUGAAUCGCCUGCUGCAUGAUGGGACGGGGUGAGUCACCCACCCCUGCUCCCCUCCCCCAACACUCACCACUACUCUCCAUGUAAGGGAGACACACGCCUUGUGUCCAUCGAUGGAGGAACAAAGGCACAUUCAAUUUAAGCCCUAUCAAUAAUGUACAGCUGAGGAGGCCUUUUGCUCAAGGAGCCCUGUAAAAGCUUGGGCAUUGUUAUGGUGUAGCAAUGGUUUUUGACUGGUUUAUUAUCUCCGGAUCUGUACACUGAGUCAUGUAUGGUAUCAUCUUUUUAUUUAUUGUUGCAUGGCAGCGUCACUGUGAUGUCUGAGAGCCCUCUUGAGCUGCUUUGUUUCUCUGGAGGCUGCAGCCCAGGCGCUGGAGAAUAUGUCAAAAGCAAGAUAAGAAGAAUGCCAUAGUUUUUGAUUUAUCGCCCAUGUCAUACAUUUACACAUGCUGUCUAUAAAAAAGGAAAUAUUUUUGCUUUAAGUAGAAGCUGGACUGUGAAUAAAAUCUGACGUGUUGAGAGUUUGUUUUUUUAUAUAUUUAUAUAAAAACACUUAAAAGACACAGUAUGGUAUGAGACAGGGAGUGAUAGUAUAAGAAGCAAAGGAAUAGGAAAUGCAGCAAGCAAUCACUAAAUGACCUAAAUAAGUAAGAACAUAAAAUCAGAGAAAAACAAGGCUGUAAAAAUAGGCCUUAGACAAAAGAAGAUGUAAUCUCCAAUCUUGUCUUUACAGAGUUGAGGAGUGUAAAAACACAGCCCAUGACUUUACGGUGACCUGAAAUGCCCCAUGUGAAGGUACCGGGCUAUGCACAAUAUCUAAUGAGCAGUUUAAAGGUCAGGGUCAUAGCUUGGGGAUAACUCAGACGUGCUUUAGAAUAAUCAAUAUCUACCCUAAAAUGGAAAGAGAAACAAGUGCCAAUGCUGCACUGCUUGAUGUUAUUGGUUUUGCACCAAUUAAAAUUCAUACACAAACAUUUUCUACAACAGAAAACUGAAAGACUAUCACUUUCCAAGUUUUUAGCUGCUUUGAUGUUUCCAAAUUUGGAAGAAGCACCACUCCAUAAAUGUUUGCAUAUACAAAGAAAGCUGUCAGAGAGUUUAACAAGAGAUUCCAGCCUUGGCAGCUCUCUAUACUUUGAACUAAAUGCUAACAUCAGAUUGCUCACAAUGCCAAUGCUAACAUGCCAAGGUUUAACAGGUAUAAUGUUUACCAUCUUGGUUUAUCAUAUUAGUGUGCUAACAUUUGCUAAUUAGCACAAAACAUAAGGUGCAGCUGAGGCUGAUUGGAAUGUCAUUAGUUUAUGCAGGUGAUCUGCUGUACUUCCAUGACUGCUUGGCCACCUACCGCUUCAACACCACAGAGUUUGCUGAUGACAUGACCGUCAGGCCAGGACAACAACCGCCAUCUCAACGUCAGCAAGUUGAUUGUGGACUACAGGAAGUAGUCCUAUACACCGACACCACCACAAUGACAUCAAGACAAUGGCUCUUCUUCUGCAGGCUGAGGGAGAUCAACAUGGUCUCCAGCCUGCAUACCUAAUAGGUAGAAUAUCCUGACUGGCUGCAUUACUAGCUGGUGUGGUUGUUGCACUACCCUUAGCCGUAAGGCUCUACAGCUUCCUCCCACAGGCCAUGUCUGUUGAAUUCCUGAGCUCUCAAUACUACAUCACUUUGCUCCUUACUUGUUUAUACAUGCACAGCUCUCAGUAUACAUACAUAUGUAUUUUUUUGCUGCUUAAAAACUGCAUAUUUAUGUGCACUUCUUGACUACAUGCUUUUCUCACCUGUCCAUAACCAGUUCUCAUUAAGCAUUUAUUACGUUACUGUACAAACUGUGUACAUACAGUUUAUUCAUUUAAUCACUACUGUACUAUAGCAUUAUAUUUUAUAUUCAGUUGUAUUGUAUUUUAUGUCCUAAAAUACAGGACAUGUUCUUGUUUUUUUCUUCACUUCUCUUUUAUCUAAUUUCUUAUUUACUUGCAUGUUUCUCUUUUCAUGUAUAUUGUGUGAGAUUUUUUUCAGGGCACCAGGGAAUUAAGAAUUUAAUUGCCAAUGAAAGCUUAAUUUUAACUGUUGUGCUUAUGACAAAUAAAGAACUUGAAACACUA